UACGUAGGGUCCGAGCGUUGUCCGGAAUUACUGGGCGUAAAGAGCUCGUAGGUGGUUUGUCGCGUUGUUCGUGAAAACUCACAGCUCAACUGUGGGCGUGCGGGCGAUACGGGCAGACUAGAGUACUGCAGGGGAGACUGGAAUUCCUGGUGUAGCGGUGGAAUGCGCAGAUAUCAGGAGGAACACCAGCGGCGAAGGCGGCGCUCUGGGCCGGUACUGACACUGAGGAGCGAAAGCGUGGGUAGCAAACAGG
rnacentral:rRNA from 1 species